GAGGAAAGCUGGCGGCGUGCCUAGUACAUGCAAGUCGAGCGAACAGACGAGGAGCUUGCUCCUCUGACGUUAGCGGCGGACGGGUGAGUAACACGUGGAUAACCUACCUAUAAGACUGGGAUAACUUCGGGAAACCGGAGCUAAUACCGGAUAAUAUAUUGAACCGCAUGGUUCAAUAGUGAAAGACGGUUUUGCUGUCACUUAUAGAUGGAUCCGCGCCGCAUUAGCUAGUUGGUAAGGUAACGGCUUACCAAGGCAACGAUGCGUAGCCGACCUGAGAGGGUGAUCGGCCACACUGGAACUGAGACACGGUCCAGACUCCUACGGGAGGCAGCAGUAGGGAAUCUUCCGCAAUGGGCGAAAGCCUGACGGAGCAACGCCGCGUGAGUGAUGAAGGUCUUCGGAUCGUAAAACUCUGUUAUUAGGGAAGAACAAAUGUGUAAGUAACUAUGCACGUCUUGACGGUACCUAAUCAGAAAGCCACGGCUAACUACGUG
rnacentral:rRNA from 1 species